rnacentral:rRNA from 1 species
UACGGAGGGUGCAAACGUUGCUCGGAAUCAUUGGGCGUAAAGCGCACGUAGGCGGACCGCUAAGUCGGAUGUGAAAGCCCUCGGCUUAACCGAGGAAGUGCAUUCGAAACUGACAGUCUUGAGUAUGGAAGAGGGUCGCGGAAUUCCCGGUGUAGAGGUGAAAUUCGUAGAUAUCAGGAGGAACACCCGUAGCGAAGGCGGCACUCUGGGCCGAUACUGACACUGAGGAGCGAAAGCGUGGGGAGCGAACAGG